AUGUUUACAGCAAUUCUACAUGUGUCAUGCCCUUAUUGUGUUUGCUUGCCUUCGCUUUGGCUAUUUGAUCUGAUAGAUCUUGAUAUAGUUUUGUUUUCUUGGUUUAUUUGGUGGUACAUUUUUACUGCUGUACAUUUUGCGUGUUCCUUGGAUUUGCCUUGGCCCAAUGAUGAUUACGACCGAGCCCUCAUGCAUGCAUGGAUGGAUCAGCUUAGAUUUGAGCUCCAAACAGGGCCAGCUGUUGCACUCGCAAAGUUGAUGCCCCUGAAAAUUGCAAAUGCAGCGCUGUCUUUUCUGUUCUGGGCGCUGAGGCGUGUCUUGGGUCAACCGUUGGCACUGACUCUAGGCCAUGGCAAAAGGUCUUCUUCUUCUUCUUCUUACCGUUGA
rnacentral:rRNA from 1 species